AGCAACCGCGGUAAUUCCAGCUCCAAUAGCGUAUAUUAAAGUUGUUGCAGUUAAAAAGCUCGUAGUUGAAUUUCGGGGUCAUCAAGUUGGUCGUGCCACUGGUAUGCACUGGCUUUGCUGAUUCCUCCUUCCUGAAGAACUGUAAUGCUAUUAAUUUAGUGUUGCAGGGAAACAGGACUGUUACUUUGAAAAAUUAGAGUGUUUAAAGCAGGCUAACGCUUGAAUACAUUAGCAUGGAAUAAUGAAAUAGGACGUUUGAUCCUAUUUUGUUGGUUUCUAGGAUUGACGUAAUGAUUAAUAGGGAUAGUUGGGGGCAUUAGUAUUCAAUUGUCAGAGGUGAAAUUCUUGGAUUUAUUGAAGACUAACUACUGCGAAAGCAUUUGCCAAGGAUGUUUUCAUUAAUCAAGAACGAAAGUUAGGGGAUCGAAGACGAUCAGAUACCGUCGUAGUCUUAACCAUAAACUAUGCCGACUAGGGAUCGGAUGAUGUUAAUUUUUAAUGA
rnacentral:rRNA from 1 species